rnacentral:rRNA from 1 species
GAUGAACGCUGGCGGCGUGCCUAAUACAUGCAAGUCGAGCGAACAGAUAAGGAGCUUGCUCCUUUGACGUUAGCGGCGGACGGGUGAGUAACACGUGGGUAACCUACCUAUAAGACUGGGAUAACUUCGGGAAACCGGAGCUAAUACCGGAUAAUAUUUCGAACCGCAUGGUUCGAUAGUGAAAGAUGGUUUUGCUAUCACUUAUAGAUGGACCCGCGCCGUAUUAGCUAGUUGGUAAGGUAACGGCUUACCAAGGCGACGAUACGUAGCCGACCUGAGAGGGUGAUCGGCCACACUGGAACUGAGACACGGUCCAGACUCCUACGGGAGGCAGCAGUAGGGAAUCUUCCGCAAUGGGCGAAAGCCUGACGGAGCAACGCCGCGUGAGUGAUGAAGGUCUUCGGAUCGUAAAACUCUGUUAUUAGGGAAGAACAUACGUGUAAGUAACUGUGCACGUCUUGACGGUACCAAAUCAGAAAGCCACGGCUAACUACGUG